CUUCAUUUAACUUGAGGAAGUUGCUGGAUUUUUCAGUUCAUCAGUGUUUUUAUUUAUAAAUAGAUGUUAAAAAAUGACUUGCCAUUUAACUAAGCUAUUGUCAAUAUCAUUUAUGCUAUAUCAUGUUUGGAGCAGAGAUUAAACAAUAAAAUCACUUUCUAAAAUCAAAAAUGAUAAAUUGAAUUUAAGUAAACUGAGUUUGAAUUAUAUGACUUGUUAGAGAAUGGGGUUUGUUUUAGUCAGCUAUUUCGAUGCUGUGACUAAAGGACCUGACCAGCACAAUUGUAGAGGAGGAAAGGUUUAUUCAAGGCUCAUGGUUUCAGAGGCCUUAGUCCACAGAAGGCUGGCUCCAUUUCUCAGGGCUCUAGAUGAAGCAGAGCAUCAUGGCCAAAGAGUGUGGCAGAGGGAAGGAGCUCACAGGAUGAUCAGGAAACAGAGAGAAUCUCCAUCCUCCAGAUACAAAAUAUAUACCCCAUAGUCUGGACCCCAGUGAACUACCUCUCCAGCCACACCCCACCUCCUCCAGCUACCACUCAGUUAAUCCUAUCAGGGAUCAAUUCACUGAUUAGGGGGCUGGGGAUGUGGCUCAAGCGGUAGCGUGCUAGCGUGGCAUGCGUGCGGCCCGGGUUUGAUCCUCAGCACCACAUACAAACAAAGAUGUUGUGUCC
rnacentral:lncRNA from 1 species